CCUCUAUUAAUGAAAGUGGUGGCACAGAAUCGGAGACCCGAUCGGUUACUUAAAACACAGCUUUCUGCGACGAAUAAUAUCUUUGUAUAGAAAGCGAAUUUUGCCCAAUGCCAUUAAUAUAAGGUCGAUAAGCGCAUAGGUAAUUAUUGUCUGAAGUUCUGGUCAAUGGCGGUCUUAUCUAUGAGGAUCCUAAGGUAGCAAAAUUAAUUGUCCAUUAAAUGUGGUCCUGACUGAAUAAAGUAACGAUGGUCUCGCUGUCUCUACAAGUAUCUCAGUGAAAUUGAAUUAGCCGUGCAGAUGCGGUUUAACUUCGGGUAGACGGGAAGACCCUAUGCAGCUUCUACUGAA
rnacentral:rRNA from 1 species